rnacentral:rRNA from 1 species
CCUACGGGAGGCAGCAGUGGGGAAUAUUGGACAAUGGACGAAAGUCUGAUCCAGCAAUGCCGCGUGAGUGAUGAAGGCCUUAGGGUUGUAAAGCUCUUUUACCAGGGAUGAUAAUGACAGUACCUGGAGAAUAAGCUCCGGCUAACUCCGUGCCAGCAGCCGCGGUAAUACGGAGGGAGCUAGCGUUGUUCGGAAUUACUGGGCGUAAAGCGCACGUAGGCGGUUAUUCAAGUCAGAGGUGAAAGCCCGGGGCUCAACCCCGGAACUGCCUUUGAAACUAGAUAGCUAGAAUCCUGGAGAGGUGAGUGGAAUUCCGAGUGUAGAGGUGAAAUUCGUAGAUAUUCGGAAGAACACCAGUGGCGAAGGCGGCUC